rnacentral:lncRNA from 10 species
CGGCUUUCGGGCUCGGCGCAGUCUGCGGGCGGGAGGGCGCCGGCGAGGUGGCGAGGGCGGCUGGCGCGGGGGCGCGGGAGCCCCGGCUAAGCCCGGGGACGGGAGGGCGCCCCCUCCCAGCGCCCGAACCCAGGCAACUUCCCGCCGCCCGGGCAGGAGUUUCUCCGUAGCCCACGGACAUCCGGGAGGCUUGUGGAGGGCAGGCGGGUAACCCCCACUCCCACCCCACCUUUAUCCAGGGGCAGCCAGAGGAGCCAGCAGGUCGGGACUCGCUGAGGGGGCUCCACGCGGGGCCUCCCACGCACAGGGACAGCGUCUGCUAUGUUGUCCAGGCUGGUCUCAAAUUCCUUGCCUCAAGCGAUCCAACUGCCUCAGCCUCCCGAGUCACUGGGAUUACAGGCAUGAAGACAUUGUUUUCAAGGGAUCACUCUGCUUUGUGGAGACUAGACUGUGAGGAGCAAGCCUCGAAAGGGGAGAGCUGUUUCGAGGUUCUCCACUGCAGCCUGCUCCACAGCCACGCCCUCCCAUCCAUGGCUACACACUCACAUUCUGGGCCUCUUCCCUGGACCAGAUUGCACAGCAGGGCCGCUCUCUCCAGUGCCUCCAGCUGGCCCCUGCUGACAAGUCCGUGUUGUGUCAUGUUGGGAGUCUGGGCAAGGCACGAGGGCCCCUCUCUAGCAGGUCCCGAUGGCUCCUCCACACCUUCAGGAAAAGCAAGAGAUAAACCAUUGCAUGCUGAGCUCUGCAGGGAACUGGAGGCGGACACCAUCCAUUCUGCAAACCUGCAAUGGUGACACUUCUGGAAUCUCCUUGCCUCUUCCAGGGCUGCAGCCUCUAAGGCAGUGGGCAAUGUCAAGUGAGAGACUCCACAGAUAAGAAAAAUAAAGGAGUGGCUCAAUUACAUGCCAGGGAAAACCGCUUUGGUGGAUGAAGGUCACACAGCUCUCCCAGCAUUCUGUCCUCUGUAUACAGAUGAUCUCCUUCUGAAAUCCUUUUGGGGAUGACCCCCUUCCACACCAUGGACACUUCUGGGUGGGUUGUCACUCAAGAGGUCCUGCCCUCUUCUGCCCACUGGGUGGACACAAGAAUUGAAAUCUGUAAAGGAUACUGAGAUUGGGAACAAAAUAAUUGAUGCUGAUUGAUCCCAGCAGUGUAUGGCGAGAAGAUGACAAGCUUCCACUGCCUGUAUCACUGACUUGCCUAAUGUCUGCCCUGCCCUGGCCUGGAUCUUAACCGCGCCCUUCAUUCUGUGAACUACCCCCAAAUCCUUCAAAUAAAGUCCUUGAUUGCUUGUUAGAGUCAAUAAUAUUGCUUGCUGAGGAUCCAGAGACCUCUAGAGAGAGGAGGUGGAAUUGCACACCCUGGGAAAGAGGAAGGUGUGAGUUACCAUCCCUGGGGGAGGCCCCACAGGUGUCAGCCCUCAGGGGGCAGGGGACUGACAGGGGACAGAGC